rnacentral:rRNA from 1 species
CAGCCGCCACGGGAAUACGUAGGUGGCAAGCGUUGUCCGCAAUUAUUGGGCGUAAAGCGCGCGCAGGUGGUUUAAUAAGUCUGACGUGAAAGCCCACGGCUCAACCGUGGAGGGUCAUUGGAAACCGUUAAACUUGAGUGCAGGAGAGAAAAGUGGAAUUCCUAGUGUAGCGGUGAAAUGCGUAGAGAUUAGGAGGAACACCAGUGGCGAAGGCGGCUUUUUGGCCUGUAACUGACGCUGAGGCUCGAAAGCGUGGGGAGCGAACAGGAUUAGAUACCCGCGUAGUCCCUGUCUCUUAUAC